rnacentral:rRNA from 1 species
CACGGGGGGAGCAAGCGUUGUUCGGAUUCAUUGGGCGUAAAGAGCUCGUAGGUGGCUCUGUAAGUCGGAGGUGAAAGACCACGGCUCAACCGUGGAAACGCCUUCGAAACUGUGGAGCUUGAGGCUGGGAGAGGAAAUCGGAAUUCCUGGUGUAGCGGUGAAAUGCGUAGAUAUCAAGUGGAACACCAGUGGCGAAGGCGAGUCCCUGGACAACUCCUGACACUGAGGCACGAAAGCUAGGGGAGCAAACAGG